CCCUAGUAACUGCGAGUGAAGCGGGAAAAGCUCAAAUUUAAAAUCUGGCGGUCUUUGGCCGUCCGAGUUGUAGUCUGGAGAAGUGCUUUCCGCGCUGGACCGUGUAUAAGUCUCUUGGAACAGAGCGUCAUAGAGGGUGAGAAUCCCGUCUUUGACACGGACUACCAGUGCUUUGUGAUGCGCUCUCAAAGAGUCGAGUUGUUUGGGAAUGCAGCUCAAAAUGGGUGGUGAAUUCCAUCUAAAGCUAAAUAUUGGCGAGAGACCGAUAGCGAACAAGUACCGUGAGGGAAAGAUGAAAAGCACUUUGGAAAGAGAGUUAAACAGUACGUGAAAUUGCUGAAAGGGAAACGCUUGAAGUCAGUCGCGUUGUCCGGAACUCAGCCUUGCUUUCGCUUGGUGCACUUUCCGGAUGACGGGUCAGCAUCGAUUUUGACCGUCGGAAAAGGGCUGGAGUAAUGUGGCACCUCCGGGUGUGUUAUAGACUCCGGUCGCAUACGGCGGUUGGGAUCGAGGAACGCAGCGCGCCGCAAGGCAGGGGUUCGCCCACUUUCGCGCUUAGGAUGCUGGCAUAAUGGCUUUAAACGACCCGUCUUGAAACACGGACCAAGGAGUCUAACAUACCUGCGAGUGUUUGGGUGGCAAACCCGAGCGCGUAAUGAAAGUGAAAGUUGAGAUCCCUGUCGUGGGGAGCACCGACGCCCGGACCUGACGUUCUCUGACGGAUCCGCGGUAGAGCAUGUAUGUUGGGACCCGAAAGAUGGUGAACUAUGCCUGAAUAGGGUGAAGCCAGAGGAAACUCUGGUGGAGGCUCGUAGCGAUUCUGACGUGCAAAUCGAUCGUCAAAUUUGGGUAUAGGGGCGAAAGACUAAUCG
rnacentral:rRNA from 1 species